UACGUAGGGUGCAAGCGUUGUCCGGAAUUAUUGGGCGUAAAGAGCUCGUAGGCGGUCUGUCACGUCGGCUGUGAAAUCCCGAGGCUCAACCUCGGGUCUGCAGUCGAUACGGGCAAACUAGAGUAUUGCAGGGGAGACUGGAAUUCCUGGUGUAGCGGUGAAAUGCGCAGAUAUCAGGAGGAACAUCGGUGGCGAAGGCGGGUCUCUGGGCAAUAACUGACGCUGAGGAGCGAAAGCGUGGGGAGCGAACAGG
rnacentral:rRNA from 1 species